UGCGUUUGGUCAUAGGUAAUUGAUGAUUUUCAUAAAGGACUUGUACCUGCAGUGGAGCUGCUCUGACGUCCUGGUUGGUCACAUGACCCUGAGACCCUCUCUCUAUUGGUCAGUGCGGCCGCCUCUUCGGUUCUGAGGAAACAAACAAAACUUUGCGGUUGUUCACGCCGACAAUCAACAACAACAAUAGAUCAGUCCAUAACGGAGCCGAAGGACGAAUAUUAUCAGAUAUAAACUGUGACAUCACACCGACCCGUCCAGUCUCGCCCUCUUCGUCUCUCCUGGACCUCCGUCAGGUCCCGGUGCUCCUCGCUCUUCUUCUGUGGUUGCGGAGCCGUUGACCCGCUGAGUCAGGAGGGGUCUCCUGUAAACGGGCACGACCGGGAUUCGAACCCACGACACACUGCUCCCCGCAUCAGGUGGGAAACACCUGAGCGCACGAUGAAGUGAUCCAUCAGUUUAUUGAUGGUCAGAAAAAAACUAUAUUAACUAGUAACCUAGAACAAUAUUAACCAUAUUAACCAGUAACCUAGAACAAUUGACCAUGCUAACCAGUAACCUAGAACCAGUCCUUACCUGUCUGCUCUCUGCUGUUUGACCAUGACCAGGUGACCUUUGACUUAAACCGUCUCCUUCAGAUUAAAGUAACAACACCGGAAACACACGUUCAUAUUGAUUAUAAUACGGAUACAAUUUAUUCCAUUGAAUUACUGCUAAUUAGGGACAUAACUUGUUCAUUCUCAUUCCUUAUACAUAGAGAACAGAUAAAAACCGACUGUAACUGUUUGCGGCGUUGAGGCGACGGGUCGGUGUGACGUCAGCGGCCUGCGGGUCUCCGGUAGUCCGGCGGAGCGACGGCAGAAACACCUGGAAAGCGCGGCUCGCGCUCCAGCUUCUCUCUGGCCGGUAGAGCGGCUCAGCUUUACGGCUCGUUAUGCUUCGAUAAUGGCGAUUUAUUACCGAAGUAAACAUUACAUCUCAUCUUUGAGGUCGUCUCACCGCUCAGCGCGAGCUAACGCUAGCUAGCGGGGCUACAUGUCAACAGCCCGCCUGGUCACGUGUGAUCCGCUCAGCGCCUCCUGCUGGCCGGGAGGAGGAAAC
ensembl:lncRNA